rnacentral:rRNA from 1 species
CCUACGGGAGGCAGCAGUGAGGAAUAUUGGUCAAUGGGCGAGAGCCUGAACCAGCCAAGUCGCGUGAAGGAUGACGGCCCUACGGGUUGUACACUUCUUUUGUCAGGGAGUAAUUGGCUCCACGCGUGGGCUUAGCGCGAGUACCUGUAGAAAAAGCAUCGGCUAACUCCGUGCCAGCAGCCGCGGUAAUACGGUGGAUGCGAGCGUUAUCCGGAUUUGGUGGGUUUAAGGGUUGUGUGGGAGGAAUAUAAGGUCAGCGUUAACAACUCGGGCCUCAACCCCGUCGUGCCGUUGAAACUGGUGUUCUUGAGUGGGCGAGAAGGAGGCGGAAUGCGUGGUGUAGCGGUGAAAUGCAUAGAUAUCACGCAGAACUCCGAUUGCGAAGGCAGCAUACCGGGGCACAACUGACGCUGAAGCACGAAAGCGUGGGUAUCGAACAGGAUUAGAUACCCUGGUAGUC